rnacentral:rRNA from 1 species
GUCUGCGGCCAUACCACCCUGAACGCACCCAAUCUCGUCUGAUCUCGGAAGCUAAGCAGGGUCAGGCCUGGUUAGUACUUGGAUGGGAAACUGCUCCUGAAAAUAUCUUACUAAGGCU